GCGAACGGACGAGAAGCUUGCUUCUCUGAUGUUAGCGGCGGACGGGUGAGUAACACGUGGAUAACCUACCUAUAAGACUGGGAUAACUUCGGGAAACCGGAGCUAAUACCGGAUAAUAUUUUGAACCGCAUGGUUCAAAAGUAAAAGACGGUCUUGCUGUCACUUAUAGAUGGAUCCGCGCUGCAUUAGCUAGUUGGUAAGGUAACGGCUUACCAAGGCAACGAUGCAUAGCCGACCUGAGAGGGUGAUCGGCCACACUGGAACUGAGACACGGUCCAGACUCUUACGGGAGGCAGCAGUAGGGAAUCUUCCGCAAUGGGCGAAAGCCUGACGGAGCAACGCCGCGUGAGUGAUGAAGGUCUUCGGAUCGUAAAACUCUGUUAUUAGGGAAGAACAUAUGUGUAAGUAACUGUGCACAUCUUGACGGUACCUAAUCAGAAAGCCACGGCUAACUACGUGCCAGCAGCCGCGGUAAUACGUAGGUGGCAAGCGUUAUCCGGAAUUAUUGGGCGUAAAGCGCGCGUAGGCGGUUUUUUAAGUCUGAUGUGAAAGCCCACGGCUCAACCGUGGAGGGUCAUUGGAAACUGGAAAACUUGAGUGCAGAAGAGGGAAGUGGAAUUCCAUGUGUAGCGGUGAAAUGCGCAGAGAUAUGGAGGAACACCAGUGGCGAAGGCGACUUUCUGGUCUGUAACUGACGCUGAUGUGCGAAAGCGUGGGGAUCAAACAGGAUUAGAU
rnacentral:rRNA from 1 species